rnacentral:rRNA from 1 species
UACGUAGGGUGCGAGCGUUGUCCGGAUUUACUGGGCGUAAAGAGCGCGCAGGCGGUCGUUCAAGUCGAGUGUGAAAGCCCCGGCUCAACUGGGAGGGUCAUUCGAUACUGAUCGACUCGAAGGCAGGAGAGGGUAGUGGAAUUCCCGGUGUAGUGGUGAAAUGCGUAGAUAUCGGGAGGAACACCAGUGGCGAAGGCGGCUCUCUGGGACGGUACUGACGCUGAGACGCGAAAGCGUGGGAGCGAACAGG